AUUGAACGCUGGCGGCAUGCCUUACACAUGCAAGUCGAACGGUAACAGGUCUUCGGAUUCUGACGAGUGGCGAACGGGUGAGUAAUACAUCGGAACGUGCCCGAUCGUGGUGGAUAACGAAGCGAAAGCUUUGCUAAUACCGCAUAAGAUCUACGGAUGAAAGCAGGGGACCGCAAGGCCUUGCGCGAACGGAGCGGCCGAUGGCAGAUUAGGUAGUUGGUGGGAUAAAAGCUUACCAAGCCGACGAUCUGUAGCUGGUCUGAGAGGACGACCAGCCACACUGGGACUGAGACACGGCCCAGACUCCUACGGGAGGCAGCAGUGGGGAAUUUUGGACAAUGGGCGAAAGCCUGAUCCAGCCAUGCCGCGUGCAGGAUGAAGGCCUUCGGGUUGUAAACUGCUUUUGUACGGAACGAAAAGACUCUGGUUAAUACCUGGGGUCCAUGACGGUACCGUAAGAAUAAGCACCGGCUAACUACGUG
rnacentral:rRNA from 1 species